ACCUGGGGUCAUGGCAAGAGCAGGGGACCCAUGCUGGUCAGUUCACUGACCCUGCUUCCCCCAAUCCUUCCAUCUCCCCACCUGUCCCCUUAGGACUGACCUUCAGGGUAACACAGUUGUCUGGGAGCUGCUGUUCUAUAUAAACCUCCAUGAUGAGGUCUCCAGCCUGGGACAGCUGAGGGGACGGGUACAGUAUUUAGGAGGACACAAGAGAAUCCAAAAUAUCAAGAACUGAAGUACUCGCCACCAUUGUGUAAUGAAGAAUCCUCAUGGUGGAAUAAGUGGAGUAAAUCCUAAACCAAACCCCUCUCCCCAAAGCACUCCCCUCCUUGGUUUCCCCCUUUCUCUGAAAGCUGACGGCCAAUGUCCAGCAGCAGAAGGCCACCCUCCUGUCUUGAUAUCCCCUCCUGGCCCACUCAGGAGUCUAAGGUCAGGACAAGUUACCUGUACAUCCUUCCAGGUGGUGAUAAGACUGACUUCCAAGUCAAUCUGAGCUACCUGGUCAGAGUCAAUCUGUGGAAGAGUCAAAAAGAAGUGUGUAUUGUGGAGGUGGGGGUAGUGCUAGGAAAUGAGGGAAGAAGGGAGAGAUGUACAAGACUAGAGGGUCUAUAUGAGAGCAUUAGAGGCCAGAAGAGCUAAGAACUAAUGGGGCAUGGGCAUUUGGAGUGACUUUAUGGGAUAGAGGGGCCCAGGGCUCUGGAAGGUGAUUCCCGAUGCAGAGGGCUUUCAGAGGUCUGGGCUGGGGUCCUGUUGGGGAGAGCAAGAUCUAGAAUCCAGGAAGAGGGACUAUAGUCAGGGGUUGAGAGAGCUUACAUUAAAGACAGAGAUGUAGCCAUCGAUGAGUUCCUGCAGCACCCGCACCUCAUGUUCCCCCCGCCCAUCUGUCUGGAACACACUAGGUGCAAACAGCAGGGCCAGGUUCCGCGUGCACAUUUGGUUUAUAGCAGCACACUUUUGUACCCUGCAGAAGGGCGUGACACAGGUCACAAGGGAUGCAUCUUGUGCUCACCUGUUGGUCAAUGCAUCCAUUCAUUCAGCAAAUACUUAUUGAGUUCCUACAGUAUGCCAGGCCCUGGGCUAAGCAUUUGGGAUACAGCUGUAAGACACAAUACUGGCCUCAAGGAGCUCCCAGUCUAGGGGAGAGACAGAUAACGAAUGGGUGAUUAUAAAUAUUGUAAGAGGCAGCACACUUUUAUGUAAAGGGACAGACAGUAAAUAUUUUAGGCUUGCAGGCCAUACGUUCCCUGUUGCAAUUCCUCAGUUCUACUGUUGUAGUAUGAGAAGAGUUAUAGACAAUAUAAAAGUGAAUGGGUGUGGCUUUACACUUCAUGGACAAAACUUCAUCUAGAAAUACAGGCAACAGGUUGGAUUCGGCCCAUGGGCCAUAGUUGGCCCAUCCCUGUGAUAUAAUCAGUACAAUACAGCCAGUGUUCACCUUAGAAUCGUUUAAAGUCCCGUCUCCCCAAGAGACUGGUCAAGAUAGAUCUGCAACUUACUCUUCUUUGUGUCUCCUACAUCUAACCCUUUGUGUGUCAUAGAAUAAUAAAGCAAAAUAAUAUUGA